GUCGCCCUCAGCUGACAUCGAGGGAAACAAAUUUGUAGCAGAGAAGACUCCUCCGGCCGAAGGAACAGCUGAAGACAGAGAAAGGAAAUGUGGAAGAGAGAGAAAGGGCAAAGGGCAGUGGGCUGGAAUCAAACCCGGCCUUCUGUGGAAAGGACUUUUACAUGGUGAGCGUACUCUACCAGGGCUUCGGAGAGCGUCUUUAUCAGUGUCCCACAGAAAGGAAUUCGCAAAGACUGCAGAUGAAAUAUGGAGGGACUGGUUUCAGCAGAAUCACUCCCGGCAGCCCUGAGAGGAGGAGAUAAUUACCACUUUGACAAGCUUUGAUCACAGAGGAUGAGAUCUGACCUGUGACAGGGUAUCCCACCAGCCAGCCAAGCCAACCUGAAGCAGCUCUUUCUGCCCUGCUGGAACCCAGGAGCAUAGCGGUACUCACAGCAGGAACUGAUUCUGGCCACCAUGAUGCCGUUAACGUACAAGGUGGCACUAAAGGGGUAGCCUCUGUGUCUCUGAGAGACAAACUGGAACUGCUCUGAAAGAUACAAGGAGAAAUUGUUAUGAAAUGCUUAAAGGUUGAACAUAUUCAGCAUGGUCAUCUGACUGUCUUGUUUUUCUUGUGUUCUGUACUCAUGAUGCUAUGAGACACUUGGGGUGGCAGCAUCCACUAAAUAGCAUACAGCAGCGGUUCCUAAUGUGUUUGGCUUGUGACCCUUGACAACCAAGCAGUGACCCCUCGUCACAGGUUACAUAUUAAGGUGGAAAUCACGUUGCUGAUUUGAAAUGUUCACUUCAUCACAGGUCAAAAUGAUGUGAUGUUAGCAGGUUCAGUGUCUUUCUUUAGUUUAGUUAUAAGUUCAGUCUGAGGCUAAACAAUUCAGUGCAAAACCUGGACAAUACAAGCAGAUUUUAAGGUUAAUAGCUCAGCAGCCACCUAUUUGCAACAGAUUUAUCACAUCCAGAUUGUUUCUGUGGUCUUUCAAUGCGCUUUGAAUCUGGCAACAUACUGUAUUUCACGCUUAAACAAUGUCAAUUUCAAUUUAUGUCACCAGUAGUUGUAUAAUAAAACAUUAUGUAUAUGAGCUAUAAGCACCACAACCAAAGAGUUAUGUUCUUUUCUAAGAUUGUACUUUUUCAAUAGUUUUGGAGGCAAAGUUUUCCUGUAUUUCAGAAGACAAAAAAAAACGUGAACAUGAUGUGUAUUCAUUUAGUCAUUUUGUGUUUUUCUUAUUUUUCCUUUUUCUCUUGCAAAAAUUUCCAGUUGCGUCAUUAGCAUACAAUAUGUCAUAUUAUUUAAAAAAAAAAAUCAAAUCAAGACCAAAAUCAGACUGAAGACAGAAGUCCCAUUUAGGAGUAAGACUUAAAGGAAGAGCAAGAUCUGAGUCCAAUUUAAGAGGAAGGCGGUUAUGUCACACUGACAUCUUUAGUCAUUUGUAAACCAUUUUCAUAUAGUCAUUGAUGCUGUCUAGGUAAGUUAUAUCAAAAUAAAAAAUAAAGAAACA